rnacentral:rRNA from 1 species
CCCCUAGAUGUUCUGGGCCGCACGCGCGCUACACUGAACAGUUCAACAAGUCUUAACCUUGGCCGAUAGGUCUGGGUAAUCUUUGAACGCUGUUCGUGAUUGGGAUAGACCUUUGCAAUUAUUGAUCUUCAACGAGGAAUUCCUAGUAAGCGCAAGUCAUCAGCUUGCGUUGAUUACGUCCCUGCCCUUUGUACACACCGCCCGUCGCUUGUACCGAUUGGAUGGUCCGGUGAAAUCUUCGGAUAGCUGGUAGUUGGCUUGCCAUCUGCUGCUAAAAGUUGCUUAAACCUUAUCAUCUAGAGGAACAAGAAGUCGUAACA